UACGGAGGAUGCAAGCGUUAUCCGGAAUGAUUGGGCGUAAAGCGUCCGCAGGUGGCUAUGUAAGUCUGCUGUUAAAGAGUGAGGCUCAACCUCAUAAAGGCAGUGGAAACUACAUGGCUAGAGUGCGUUCGGGGCAGAGGGAAUUCCUGGUGUAGCGGUGAAAUGCGUAGAGAUCAGGAAGAACACCGGUGGCGAAAGCGGCUCUCUGGGACGGUACUGACGCUGAGACGCGAAAGCGUGGGGAGCGAACAGG
rnacentral:rRNA from 1 species